GACGAACGCUGGCGGCAUGCCUAAUACAUGCAAGUCGAACGCUGAAGCACUCUGCUUGCAGAGUGCGGAUGAGUGGCGCACGGGUGAGUAACACGUGGGAAAUCUCCCUAUCAGAGGGGGAUAACAUUCGGACACGGAUGCUAAUACCGCAUAUAUUCUUGGACCGCCUGGUCCUUGAACGAAAGACGGCUUUGCUGUCGCUUCUAGAUGAUCCCGCGGCGUAUUAGUUAGUUGGUGGGGUAAAGGCCUACCAAGACAAUGAUACGUAGCCGACCUGAGAGGGUGAUAGGACACACUGGGACUGAGACACGGCCCAGACUCCUACGGGAGGCAGCAGUAGGGAAUCUUCCACAAUGGGCGAAAGCCUGAUGGAGCAAUGCCGCGUGAAUGAAGAAGGUCUUCGGAUCGUAAAGUUCUGUUAUUAGAGAAGAACAAGUCAAGGAGUAACUGUAGAGACUUUGACGGUACCUAAGCAGAAAGUCACGGCUAACUACGUG
rnacentral:rRNA from 1 species